GCCGGGUAGCUAUGUUCGGAAGAGAUAACCGCUGAAAGCAUCUAAGCGGGAAACUUGCCUCAAGAUGAGACUUCCCUGAGGGUAUAACCCUCCUGAAGGUUCGUUCGAGACCAGGACGUUGAUAGGUCGGAUGUGGAAGCGCAGUAAUGCGUUAAGCUGACCGAUACUAAUUGACCGUGAGGCUUGAUCCU
rnacentral:rRNA from 1 species